rnacentral:misc_RNA from 1 species
UGACUGUUAUGUCCCCCUUCCCAAUUUUAAAAAAAAUGUUAGCUUGAUAUCUUUAUAAGAACUGCGAACGCUAACGCCCGUUUUCCGCGUACAUUUUACAUCCAAAUAUUUCGGAAUUUCUGUCAGAUAUUCAAAAACUAAGUUUUCUACUAAAACGAAUAAUCAAAUCCUAAUCCAUUUAUAUCAAAAUAAAAUUUUUAAUCAAACUAUUUCAUUUUAAACAAAAGUUUUGCUAACGCGGGGUCUAAAAAAAAUUCAUUGAAAUCGGUCUCUAUGAGUGAGGAAAAUAUUAUUUAGCGGUCAAUACGUGCAUAAAAACUUAAUAAUAACACAUUUACGAUAUGUAUUAAAACAAAAUUUCAUUUUAAUUCAUUUCUGUUAAUUAUUUGUCGAAAAUUUACGAAGCAAAAUCUUUUUUUUGGAAUGUAUUUCGGUCUGUAGACAUAUGUUCCCCCCUGUGAAACAGCAAACCCUUUGGUAAUAAUAUGCUAAAUAACAAUAAUUAAAACCCCUCAAAAGGAAUUUUUGUUUCACGGAGGGGGGGGGGGGGGGAGAUGUUUUAAAAAACAUUUCCGUUUUCCGUUAUUUUCUAUUAUGAAAUGAGCUAUUUUAACCCAAAAUACAAAGUUAUCUCUCUUUGUUUGACCAAAUCAUUUAUAUAAAUAAAUGUUUACAUUAUUAUUAAAAAUUAACUUUAAUUAUGAGACAACUUUCAAAAAAUGAUUUAGUUAGGCGGCUAGACAAUGCUAUCGUUCGCAGUCCUUUUGACUAUUCCACAUAUUGACAUGCGAAACUUGAAAAUAAAAAAUACAUAAAAAUGC